UACGUAGGGUGCGAGCGUUGUCCGGAAUUAUUGGGCGUAAAGAGCUCGUAGGCGGUUUGUCGCGUCGACUGUGAAAACCCGAGGCUUAACCUCGGGCCUGCAGUCGAUACGGGCAGACUAGAGUCCGGAAGAGGAGAGUGGAAUUCCUGGUGUAGCGGUGAAAUGCGCAGAUAUCAGGAAGAACACCUAUGGCGAAGGCAGCUCUCUGGGACGGUACUGACGCUGAGACGCGAAAGCGUGGGGAGCGAACAGG
rnacentral:rRNA from 1 species